rnacentral:rRNA from 1 species
GACGAACGCUGGCGGCGUGCUUAACACAUGCAAGUCGAACGGAAAGGCCCUGCUUGCAGGGUACUCGAGUGGCGAACGGGUGAGUAACACGUGGGUGAUCUGCCCUGCACUUCGGGAUAAGCCUGGGAAACUGGGUCUAAUACCGGAUAGGAGCCAUUUUUAGUGUGAUGGUUGGAAAGUUUUUUCGGUGUAGGAUGAGCUCGCGGCCUAUCAGCUUGUUGGUGGGGUAAUGGCCUACCAAGGCGGCGACGGGUAGCCGGCCUGAGAGGGUGGACGGCCACAUUGGGACUGAGGUACGGCCCAGACUCCUACGGGAGGCAGCAGGGGGGAAUAUUGCACAAUGGGCGCAAGCCUGAUGCAGCGACGCCGCGUGGGGGAUGACGGCCUUCGGGUUGUAAACUCCUUUCGCUAGGGAAGAAGCUUUUUGUGACGGUACCUAGAGAAGAAGCACCGGCUAACUACGUG